AAAAAGGGCAGACCAUCACAAAUAUGGCGCCUGCUCGACCCUGAAACGCUGUUUUCGUGGGCGGCGGUGGCGAAUCGCGAUCAAGAGAUUUGCUCUGCGUAAUUUCUCCAACGCUGGGCUUGAAGCGGAAUGGGCCAACUUGGCUAAUUCCCCCCAG
rnacentral:snRNA from 1 species